rnacentral:rRNA from 1 species
ACUACGGGAGGCAGCAGUGAGGAAUAUUGGUCAAUGGGCGGAAGCCUGAACCAGCCAAGUAGCGUGCAGGAUGACGGCCCUACGGGUUGUAAACUGCUUUUAUACGGGAAUAACGCGCCUUACGUGUAGGGCUUUGCAUGUACCGUAUGAAUAAGGACCGGCUAAUUCCGUGCCAGCAGCCGCGGUAAUACGGAAGGUCCGGGCGUUAUCCGGAUUUAUUGGGGUUAAAGGGAGCGUAGGCCGCAUGUCAAGCGUGCUGUGAAAUGUCCGGGCUCAACCCGGGCCUUGCAGCGCGAACCGGCGUGCUUGAGUCCGCGGAAAGCAGGCGGAAUUCGUCGUGUAGCGGUGAAAUGCUUAGAUAUGACGAAGAACCCCGAUUGCGAAGGCAGCUUGCUGCAGCGGAACUGACGCUGAUGCUCGAAAGCGCGGGUAUCGAACAGGAUUAGAUACCCUGGUAGUC